CGGGAAGUGGCUCAAUUUGGUAGAGCACUUGGUUUGGGACCAAGGGGUUGCAGGUUCAAAUCCUGUCUUCCCGACCA
rnacentral:tRNA from 1 species